rnacentral:rRNA from 1 species
AUUGAACGCUGGCGGCAGGCCUAACACAUGCAAGUCGAGCGAGCGGCGGACGGGGGAGUAAUGUAUGGGGACUGCCCGAUAGAGGGGGAUAACAACUGGAUAAGGUAUCUAAUAACGCAUACUAUCGGAUAACCCAUAUGGGAUUAGCUGGUAGGUGAGGUAAUGGCUCACCUAGGCGACGAUCCCUAGCUGGUCUGAGAGGAUGAUCAGCCACACUGGGACUGAGACACGGCCCAGACUCCUACGGAGGCAGCAGUGGGGAAUAUUGGACAAUGGGCGCAAGCCUGAUGCAGCCAUGCCGCGUGUAUGAAGAAGGCCUUAGGGUUGUAAAGUACUUUUAGUCGGGAGGCGUUACCGACAGAAGAAGCACCGGCUAACUCCGUGCCAGCAGCCGCGGUAAUAC